rnacentral:rRNA from 1 species
UACGGGGGGGGCAAGCGUUGUUCGGAAUUACUGGGCGUAAAGGGCGCGUAGGCGGCCAUCUAAGUCAGACGUGAAAUCCCUCGGCUCAACCGAGGAACUGCGUCUGAUACUGGAAGGCUUGAAUCCGGGAGAGGGAUGUGGAAUUCCAGGUGUAGCGGUGAAAUGCGCAGAUAUCAGGAAGAACACCCGUGGCUAAGGCGGCUCUCUAGUACGGUACUGACGCUGAGACGCGAAAAGCGUGGGGGAGCGAACAGG